UCCCGCCGAGCUGCAGAGGGCGCGAGGUGUGCGAGCUGGGGCGCGCGCGGCCGCCAUGCCUUCCGAGCUCUUCCACGGGCCUCCGUCCUUCCGGGGAACUCGGCUUCCUCCUGCGGGAGGCACGGCCCUCGCUCGCCUUCAAGCCCCUGGGUGACUGCGGAGCUCAGGAGGACACAGCCUUCUGUGGCGGGAAGGAAAGGCCGCGGCUCUGCUGUCUGCCUGCGCCUUGGAUCCCUUUUGUGCCCCUGCUCACGCUGUGCGCCUCGGUACAACAUCCCUAUGUUUUGAAGAUGUAUGAUCAUUGGAAGAAGUGUUUUCCAAAAAGUUGUCUUAAGGUGACUGAAAAAGCGACUUAGGACCACAACUGCAAGUAACAAGGAUGUAGGUAGCUGACGAUGAAUGUCCAAGUUCAUUAACCAUGCUGUUAAAACGUACUUCAUUAUAUCAUGUGCAGUACGUUUUAGAAGUAAAAAAAAUCAAGAAUUGGGUCAAGAA